UUGGAGGGCAAAUCUGGUGCCAGCAGCCGCGGUAAUUCCAGCUCCAAUAGCGUAUAUUAAAGUUGUUGCAGUUAAAAAGCUCGUAGUUGAAUUUCGGGAUCAGUACGCUGGUCGUGCCUUUGGUAUGCACUGGAGUCACUGAUUCCUCCCUCCUGAAGAACCGUAAUGCCAUUAAUUUGGUGUGGCGGGGAAUCAGGACUGUUACUUUGAAAAAAUUAGAGUGUUUAA
rnacentral:rRNA from 1 species